AUUAAAUCUUAACCACAGUUUAAGCCUUUGUCUGAACAGAGUUUAAACUCGGGUUGAGGUUUAAUUGACGUUGGUGAAACUGGGCACAAGUUUUAGACCUGGUUCCACCAACGUCUUUAAACAUCAAUUAAAUCUUAAUUUGUGUUUAAAUCUUUGUCCAAGGACAAUUUAAACUCAAAUUAAGACUUAAUUGGCGUUGGUAAAAUUGGACAUUAGAUAAAUUCUGGUUAAGAUUUAAUCGAUGUUUAAGUACUUAAAACAUAUAACUUUGGACGAACCGGACUUAAAACAUUGUUUUCCCGACUGUACCAACGAUUGCAAUGAAGUUGGUAAUAACGAUUUGCCGGUCUUUCUAUAGACUGUACUUGUAUGAAAGUUUGAUUUCAAAUUAAUCAAGUAAUCCUAAUCUGAAGUUGACUCCAGAUGGCGCUACCUCCCAGACUUAAAAUUUCUGAUUUUAUGCUAUGAGGCCCAAUUCACAACUUAUCUUAAUUAGAAUUUAAUUAAUUUAAUCUAAUCAAAUAUAGAAAAAUGUGUACACGAUAAUAAUAAUUGAAAAAUCGAAUUUCCGGAUCUUUAUUGAAUAUAUAUUAAGACGAUUUAAUUAAAAUAUACUUACAGAAGUGAGCAACAGACGAAUCGCGCGUGAGACCAAAUAAAGAUUCCAUAGAGAUUCCUGUCUUAAGGAGACCCGCUGCCAGCGGAAUGUAUCCUCACUUUGUUACGCUUGAUGCAAAGAUACAUUUGACCAAGUGCAUAAACGCGUCACGUUUAGUCAUAUGCGUUAAUAGAUAAAUAUGCAGCGAACGGGUGAUACUCAUUGAAAUCAGAAUUCGCGCGAAAAUCAAUGAGGAAGGGAUCUUCCACGAACAAAUGUCACAUAAUACGCCUCCGUGACGAAUCUCUCAUUAAAGCGUCGCUUGUUCAAUAUGCCGGAACAGAUCCCUUCAAACUACUAGCUUAAAAAGAUAGUAACAAAUACGGUAUAGAUAAAAUGACUGAUGGGAGGCUGCUCCAAAGCUCAGGCUAGUCGUAUCUAAAAGGUCUUUGAUAGAAGCUGGUGCUUAAAUCGCUCUUACGCAAUAACAAGGGAUAAUAACGAGGUGCAACGGACGGACAGCGUAUGUCCGAGAGUUUACCCUGCCAUUGUUCGGCGUAGAGACGACAACGUCGUCGUCGGCGUAGUAGUUGACGACCAAGCUACCGACGCUAUCAAGUGAACGGUAUGACAGCAUCGAGAUAAGAAACGAUCUCCGCGCUUCCACGGAGGAUUGAGCUCAAUUUCAAGGUGUUUAUGACAGCAAGCUGACAUCACAAGACGCGAUCAAGAAGCGAGGCCUUUGUGUUCUUAUAAUGUACUUAAAAUAAUAUUUAUAAAAGUUUGAUGUGUAUAUAUAUUUAUUUAUCAUCAAAUGUCAAAAGGUCUAGACAUGACCUGGAAUUUGGAGGGACGGUAGACUUGAAAACACGUUUAUCUGAUAAACGUUUUCAUAUCGCGCUUAACGAUAAAAAACGUUCGACGAAAUAUCGACAGGACAUUUGUAUCACAGACUGCAGCCACUUGUUUUGGAUAAAAUUUUAAGCUCUUUUUAUUACGUACAAACUAAUACCACAAUGUAUUUUAUUUCAACUACAAUAUGUUUAAUUUAUUUUGAAUGAAUUUUAUUUCAAUAAAAUUGAUUUACACUGUA